AGAAAGUACAUCUUGGACUACUUUUUUGAGGAGAAGCAGAACCUUCGCUUUGACUUGUAUGAUGUUGACUCCAAAAGCCCCGACUUGUCCAAACACGACUUUUUGGGUCAGAUGUUCUGUACUCUUGGCGAGAUUGUUGGAUCGCCAGCCAGUCGACUGGAGAAACCACUGGG